rnacentral:rRNA from 1 species
GGAUAAAGAAAGCAGAUCGCAUGAUCAGUACUUUUAAAAGGCGGCGUAAAGCUGUCGCUAUGGGGAUGGCCCCCGCGGUGCAUUAGCUAGUUGGUAAGGUAAAGGCUUACCAAGGCGAUGAUGCAUAGCCGAGUUGAGAGACUGAUCGGGCCACAUUGGGGACUGAGACACGGCCCAAAAACUCCUACGGGGAGGCAGCAGUAGGGAAUCUUCCACAAUGGACGCAAGUCUGAUGGAGCAACGCCGCGUGAGUGAAGUAAGGUUUUCGGAUCGUAAAGCUCUGUUGUUGGUGAAGAAGGAUAGAGGUAGUAACUGGCCUUUAUUUGACGGUAAUCAACCAGAAAGUCACGGCUAACUACGUGCCCAGCAGCCGCGGGUAAU